UACAUAGGGUGCAAGCGUUGUCCGGAUUUACUGGGCGUAAAGCGCGUGUAGGUGGGAAUAUAAGUCAAACUUUAAAGGCUGAGGCUUAACUUCAGUUCGGGUUUGAUACUGUAUUUCUAGAGAUUGGGAGAGGAAAGCGGAACUAACAGUGUAGCGGUGAAAUGCGUAGAUAUUGUUAGGAACACCCGUGGCGAAGGCGGCUUUCUGGACCAAUUCUGACGCUGAGACGCGAGAGCGUGGGGAUC
rnacentral:rRNA from 1 species